rnacentral:rRNA from 1 species
GAGCUUCUCAAGCGCAAAGCGCGUCGCCGGUCGUCCGGCGUCCAAGAAACCAAAAUGGUUUCCAAGCGUUGUUGAAAGGUAUCUUAUCCUGAAUUCGGUAGGGAUAAGAAGCGAACACGGGGAACUGAAACAUCUAAUUUCUUGCAGGACAGGACAUCGACCAAGCCCCCUCCCCUUGUGGGGAGCGAACGCGGACCAGGCCCGUGUCAAUGAGGAAUGAAAUGGAACUGUUUGGAAAGGCCGGCCGCAGCGGGUGACACCCCCCAACAAAAACAAUACUCUUUGUCCUUGAGUAGGACAAGAAAAAAAGAUUUUCCAACCNGAAUGUUGCAGACACGAAU